GCUCAGGACGAACGCUGGCGGCGCGCCUAACACAUGCAAGUCGAACGAGCGAGAGAGAGUUUACUUUUUCGAGCGAGUGGCGAACGGGUGAGUAACGCGUGAGGAACCUGCCUCAAAGAGGGGGACAACAGUUGGAAACGACUGCUAAUACCGCAUAAGCCCACGACCCGGCAUCGGGUAGAGGGAAAAGGAGCAAUCCGCUUUGAGAUGGCCUCGCGUCCGAUUAGCUAGUUGGUGAGGUAACGGCCCACCAAGGCGACGAUCGGUAGCCGGACUGAGAGGUUGAACGGCCACAUUGGGACUGAGACACGGCCCAGACUCCUACGGGAGGCAGCAGUA
rnacentral:rRNA from 1 species